CUCCCCCAUUUUUGUUUCCCUCUUUUCCCUAAGCCUUAAGAAUGAUACUCUACGCCACCCCCCUCAAACAUCAUCGGUGACUCCACCUCUUUUCCAUCUCCUCCGCAUUCACGACCAUCUCUAUAUAUGAAUCUCCAUAAAACCCUUAAAUUCUAUAUAAUUGGAAAAUGAAGUAGUCAUCGAUUCUUCUUCCAUCGAAGUAGAAAUCAGUUGCUUGGACCUUCCUUUUGGCGCAUAAUAUCUCAGAAUCGAUUGUUGGGAUCUUCCUCACCCUCUGGUUUCGAUCUCUUCUAUUUGUGGCAUGUAAAUUUUAGUACUCCCUCUUCCCCACCGUCUCCUAAAUCUCUCGCACACUAUCUCAAGAUAUCAAUCGGUUCUUUUGCAUUGUGCUUUAAAAACCCUUCUCACAUACUCCCUCUUACGCACUAUGCCCUAAAAACUUCUAACAUGCUUCAUGAAGAAAUCUGUCGGUAUCACUCUAAGAACCGUGGUCUUCACCCCUACCACCACUAUUUAUGCGGAUGGUCUAGUGAGUCCAGGCACAGAGUCAUCAGAGUAGCCAACUAAGCCUGAUGCCUUCAAAUGUUCUUGAAUAGGAUAGGUUCGUCCCUUUCUGUCCUCCUUUUUUCAAUUUCAAUUCUAUCCAUAUCGAUCAUGAAGUUUUUAUUGAAUUUUAAAAGAAAAGGAAAAACAACGAUACUGAAGAUACUUGGAGGGAAGCAUAUGGUGGAGCCUAAUAUGAUUAAGGUUCUUGGUAGAUCGACGUUCCAUGACACCUCUUUGACUUCUUUGGGUGACCUAGCUUAACUUGGUGGAGAGUUGUUACAGAAGGAUUAAAGCAGGCAACUUGGGAUUGGGGUAGGUGGAGGUGAUGAAAUAAAAAAACAUGGUUGGUUUAAAUUGAUUAAUUAGAGGAAACUGGAGGGUAGAGAAAUAAAGCCAAGUUUUGUUCCACAAGUAGCUUGGAAGCAAUGCAUUGUGAAUUUUGAAGAUUAUUGGACAAUUUUACCCCUGCUUCUGGAUUCCCCUGCUGCGAGUCCCAAAUUUAAGGAAAACCCGUUUAAGGGAUUUACUUAUGUCAGGCUUGCAGAUCCUUUCCUACACAUGACUAAAUGAUUCUAGAACUUUGUACCAAGUUUUUUAAAUUGAUAUGCUUGAAAGAAGUGUCUACUGAUGAAGCUGUUGAACAAGCUGCUCAUUUGAGAUCUCAGAUGUAUAUUUUAUGGGGGACUUUGCUUUAUGAGAGAUCUGUUGGUGAAUUCAAAAUGGAUUUGUCAACAUGGGAAAAAAAUUUAGCUGCCGCUGUUGAAACAUUUUAGCUUGCGGUUUCAUCACCAACAGAUCUUGCAGUAAUUAUAAAGAAUCAUUGCUCAAAUGGGACAACUUCUGCAGGUCUUGGUUUUAAAAUUGAUGAAAUAGUUCAAGCAUGGAAUGAGAUGUAUGAGGCUAAAAGAUGGCUAACUGGUGUUCCCUGUUUUCGCCUUUAGGCAUCGCGUCUCAAAAUUGCAUUCUCUCAUGGAAGUGGAACAUCGUUGAAUUGGGAUUUCCAUUUUUACCCUUGGUGUGAUUUAGUCAUCGAAUCACUAUUGUUGGAAGCUCUUUCUUCUUUUAAGGGAGUCAUUUGGGAGAUUUCUAGUGCAGUUCCAUUGUGGGGCAGGGUACUCUAUUGCAAAGGUGAUGCAAUUUAUCACCGAGCAUUGAAAUAGUGGGUGAUGAAGAUGAGGUAAUCCUUUUGAUAACCUUCAAAAUCCGAUUUUGCUGCUCAACUUGUUGGAUUCAUGGAAACUUUGUUAGUUGGUGCUCCUGAUCAAGCCCAUUGGAUAUUGGAAUUAGCUAAGUUUGAUUUCAACAUUGUUGCGAGACAUUUGGUUGCAUCUGUACCUGGGAUUUAUUCCCCCAAGCAUCCCUACAUAUCUGAUUCCCUUAAUUAUUUAACUGUCUUGUUGAUGUGCAUAGUGUCAAGAAAAGUAGCUCAGGAUGUUGUAAAGGUGAGCAACAAGUUCUUGUAGUUCAACUAUUAUUUGUUGAUGACUUUCAUCUCUUUCACAUUUGAUGUAUUACAUUUUUUUAUUAUUGGAAUGAUUAUUUGUAUGACAUUAACUUUUGUGCAAUGAAUUGU